rnacentral:rRNA from 1 species
UCUGGGCCAUUACUGACGCUGAGAAGCGAAAGCAUGGGGAGCGAACAGGAUUAGAUACCCUGGUAGUCCAUGCCGUAAACGUUGGGAACUAGGUGUGGGCCUCAUUCCACGAGGUCCGUGCCGUAGCUAACGCAUUAAGUUCCCCGCCUGGGGAGUACGGCCGCAAGGCUAAAACUCAAAGGAAUUGACGGGGGCCCGCACAAGCGGCGGAGCAUGCGGAUUAAUUCGAUGCAACGCGAAGAACCUUACCAAGGCUUGACAUACACCGGAAUGUGCCAGAGAUGGUGCAGCCUUCGGGCUGGUGUACAGGUGGUGCAUGGUUGUCGUCAGCUCGUGUCGUGAGAUGUUGGGUUAAGUCCCGCAACGAGCGCAACCCUCGUUCCAUGUUGCCAGCACGUAAUGGUGGGGACUCAUGGGAGACUGCCGGGGUCAACUCGGAGGAAGGUGGGGAUGACGUCAAAUCAUCAUGCCCCUUAUGUCUUGGGCUUCACGCAUGCUACAAUGGCUGGUACAGAGGGUUGCGAUACCGUGAGGUGGAGCGAAUCCCUUAAAACUGGUCUCAGUUCGGAUUGGGGUCUGCAACUCGACCCCAUGAAGUUGGAGUCGCUAGUAAUCGCAGAUCAGCAACGCUGCGGUGAAUACGUUCCCGGGCCUUGUACACACCGCCCGUCAAGUCACGAAAGUCGGUAACACCCGAAGCCGGUGGCCUAACCCUUGUGGGAGGAGCCGUCGAAGGUGGGAUUGGCGAUUGGGACUAAGUCGUAACAAGGUAACC